AACACAGGAUAUUCUGUGAUUGUAUGAACAAAGAUUUCGAACACCACUGUUACACCAGCUGCUGCCCUACAAUCUCUUGAGAGCAACCCUAUAUAAGGCUAGGUCAGACUGUUAAGCUUCCAAGUCUCACUGCCCAGUAACACCUC